GUAGUGCGCGGGAUAUAUCGUGUCCGGGUGAAACAAAAGUUCGAAAACGCGUUACUACUUGUCGGUGCAUUAACCUAAUCACAGAGGGUUGAAAAAGGGAGGCUGACUUUUCGUUUUUUAAGACCCACGCUUUCCCGUGAUGCCUCUUCGGCAUCUCUUAUUCUCUACUCGUCUCGUCACGGCCGUCCUUUUCCUUCUCCACUUCCAUCGCAAUGAGCACGGAACACGUUCCUGACACGCGUCUAUAAUAAAACCACCUACUACUUCACUGCCCGCUCCGACUGCGUUCCACUGCCAGCAAGACCCUAAGUGGGGCUGACUCUGCAAGAAUUUUAUUUUUGUGCUCCCAAAACAUCAACCCAUCCGACCACGUCCAGACUGCCAACGAAUGGCUUCAACGACCAAGUUGCACUGUGAAGGCAAACUGUCCUGGAUAUUUUUUUUGGUAUUCCAGUGUAACUUUCAAAGAUCUUCCCAUUAAUGCAGAGAUACUCAAGAGGGACGAUGGACGUGGAAAAAUAUUGUAGACCGUCAUACUGUAAACAGUAAUGCAGUAAGGUGUCAGUAAUUGAUAAUAAAUAUUUUAUUGUAUGUCUCAAUACUCAUUACGGAUUCAAUAGUCAAUUAGGAACCUCGUCGGUAUUGAUUUUACGAUCGUGAUCUAAUAUAGAUAAAAUACUGCCACCGAGUGAACGCAAGAAUAAGAGAAACCCUGAAUAAACAGAUCCUGACUGUCAAAUCCCAAGAGAGCCGUAUAUUCGUCCGGGAAAAACUUGAGGAUUUCCAGUCACGAAAUUACAUCCGUCGCUCAGCCCUUUAACCGAAUGGAGAAUUUUUCUGCAUUUUAAGGAAACAAAUGCUUCUGGGUGUGUCCCGUGCCUCGUGGGAUGUCAGCCGAUUGGCAGUACUUGACUUCUUGUUUACAGUAAAAAUUAACAUGUGCUCAGCAUGUUAUACGGGUGUCUUGAUACUUCCCAGGAUAAUACACUUGCCUGUAACGUAUAAGAGGAAAGUUUGGUUUUGGUGUAUUAGAAAAAUUUUCCAGCGAUUGAAUCAGCUGAUUUGCGUCUCGCGGACGACCCCAUCUUUAUGUCUGUAUUAACAUUGAGCAUUAAUGGUUCGGACGGCCAUUAGUAAAGGGAGUCAAAAGCUCAGGGUCUUCAAUGACGAUAGUCAUUAGUCGCUAUUGCCUCUUUGCUCCGUACAUACAAAAGCUUAAGCAGGCAGUUAGACCAUAUUGGUAAUGUCAGAAAUAAAAAAAGAAAAUUUUAAGCUCGUAAUGGCUGUACUGUUAACCAACGAGGUAGAAUUAAAUGACCCGGUCAACUCGUCACGGGUAAUUAACGCUCGACUUGAAGGAAAGUGAAAUUUCACUGAGAUCUAUGGGCUUCGAUAAUUGAAUGGGCGAUCAACCGUUUUACGGUCAAGGUGUAACGCCUCAAUCAACAUAGAUAAUACAGUCAACCUAAAGCGGCCGUUUGUGCUCGACAAAUUGGUUCCAGUUUUUAUGAAUUUACGCGCGGGAAGUCACAUUAUUUUUGUAAGAUUAGAAACUUCAGUCAUCGGCAACAUUAAUUAAGAUAUAAUUUAUUUGUGUUUCAGCCUGCACCAGCUUCUUCUACCAUCUAUCGCGGAUAAGAGCUCGUGAAGCAAAAGCGAAAAACCAAAUGGUUUUUAGCUAGCAAUAACUUCAGGGGCAAAUUUGAAAACAAACAUCUCAACCCACCUGGUCCAAAUCUCCCGAACAGACAGCAAACACAGAACGUAAUCCCGACGAUCAGUGGCAGCUCUAAACUCAAGAUUACGUUCGUGAAGCUAAACCGGGGUAAUCCGGAAUUGCGGGAUGUAAGGGAUGCGCCAUGUAGAAACGAUGUCAGAGACCCAGGCGGCGAGUAGAGCAAACCUCCUGACGUAAACGACAUAACGAGGAGUAACGUGACUCUUAUAUAGAGUCUAUAUAUAUAUUAUAUAUGGAAAUAUAGGAAGGCAAGAUACAAGUAUAUAUAUCGUACAUAUAUAUAGUGUGUAUAUAUAUACGUAAGAUGACUGUAGAGUAUGUAGAACUCAGCUUACAUCGUGUAGCAUCGGAAGUGUGGAACAAAAUAUAAAGGAGCUAAAGGGUACGGAGGUUACAGGACGAGAGAGCAUAUAGAGCGGUAUAGUAGAUGGAGGAUGAAGGAAGAAGAGUGAAGUUAGGUUAGGUGAAACGCGCACGACCCAGGACGGUAGCGAACCCGCACCUAGAACAAGAGCGGUAAAAAUAAAUCGAUAGGCGGAGUUUUUCGUGACGCGCCGCGAGAGGCGCUGGGGGUGGGGAGAGCAAUAGGCGGAGUCUGGCUGAUUUAGGGCCGCCAUUUUGUGACAAUGCACGAGAGGGGGAAUGCCUAUCUGAUUGGCUGAUCUACGGACUUCUCUCGUCCUCGACAAGCUUCUACAGAUUGUUCGGUUGUACUCCGCCGGCACUCCAGCCACCCGGCCGCACGGCAACCGAGCCACCCCAAUACGACUGCCGUACCAAUACCAAUAUCACCAUGAUCAGAGCAGACCUUCUAUCACGUGCCUUAUAUAUUCUGUGGACUACGCUCACCCCUGUAGAGUAGAGAGCUACCCUUGACGUUACUAUUACUAUUACCUUACAGUAUUCUUCGUACUGUAUGUUGUCGAGUAUAGUAACGCUCUCGAAAUUG